CUUAAAACGACUGGCAUGAUGCCUGGAGUUCGGCAGCCCCUCUCCUCCGGGAGCUGCUGGUUCAGAGCGAAUGGUGGGAAGAGCGCUGCAGGAGUAUUUAUACAGGUUUACCAGAAGAAAGCCUUUUGAAGUCUCGCAGCUUUUCGGUGUCACAAACUGAAAACCAACCAGGAAGUGAUGGACUCUUCCUCUCUGACUGGCCUUUCAGGUCAGGCCUGAAAUGUCUGCCAUUAACUUUAUUAUCUGCCAACAUUGAGUAACAACCAGACGCAGGAAAACUCACCAGACUAAA